AACGAACGCUGGCGGCAUGCCUAAUACAUGCAAGUCGAACGAUCACUUCGGUGGUAGUGGCGCACGGGUGCGUAACGCGUGGGAAUCUGCCCUUGGGUUCGGAAUAACAUCUGGAAACGGAUGCUAAUACCGGAUGAUGACGUAAGUCCAAAGAUUUAUCGCCCAGGGAUGAGCCCGCGUAGGAUUAGCUAGUUGGUGGGGUAAAGGCCUACCAAGGCGACGAUCCUUAGCUGGUCUGAGAGGAUGAUCAGCCACACUGGGACUGAGACACGGCCCAGACUCCUACGGGAGGCAGCAGUAGGGAAUAUUGGACAAUGGGGGCAACCUUGAUCCAGCAAAGCCGCGUGAGUGAUGAAGGCCUUAGGGUUGUAAAGCUCUUUUACCCGGGAUGAUAAUGACAGUACCGGGAGAAUAAGCCCCGGCUAACUCCGUGCCAGCCGCCGCGGUAA
rnacentral:rRNA from 1 species